rnacentral:rRNA from 1 species
UGAAUACGAGAUGCUACGGCGUCGAAGCAGUCUAUGUCAUACUUCCAAGAAAAGCUUGCACUGUCAUAAACAAAUAAUGCCUGUACCAUAACCGACACAGGUGGGUAGGUAGAGUAUACUAAGGGGCGCGAGAUAACUCUCUCUAAGGAACUCGGCAAAAUGACUCCGUAACUUCGGGAGAAGGAGUGCCUUAUUUUAUAAGGUUGCAAUAACAAGAUCCAAGCAACUGUUUACCAAAAACACAGGUCUCCGCUAAGUCGUAAGACGAUGUAUGGGGGCUGACGCCUGCCCAGUGCCAGAAGGUUAAAGAAGUUGGUUAGCAUCCGCGAAGCUGAUAACUGAAGCCCUGGUGAACGGCGGCCGUAACUAUAACGGUCCUAAGGUAGCGAAAUUCCUUGUCGGGUAAGUUCCGACCCGCACGAAAGGCGUAAUGAUUUGGAUACUGUCUCAGAGAGGGGCUCGGUGAAAUAGACUUGUCUGUGAAGAUGCGGACUACCUGCACCAGGACAGAAAGACCCUAUGAAGCUUUACUGUAACUUGAAAUUGAAAUUGGACUUUACUUGCGCAGUAUAGGUGGGAGGCGUUGAGAAUAUUCUUGCGGGAAUGUUGGAGCCAUCAGUGAGAUACCACUCUUGUAAUGUUAGAUUUCUAACUUUGUAUCAUUAUCUGGUCAAAGGACAGUUUCAGGCGGGCAGUUUGACUGGGGCGGUCGCCUCCCAAACGGUAACGGAGGCGCACAAAGGUUUCCUCUGAACGGGUAGAAAUCGUAUCUAGAGUGUAAAGGCAUAAGGAAGCUUGACUGUGAGACCUACAAGUCGAGCAGGGACGAAAGUCGGUCUUAGUGAUCUGACGGUGCUGAGUGGAAAGGCCGUCACUCAACGGACAAAAGUUACUCUAGGGAUAACAGGCUGAUCUCCCCCAAGAGUUCACAUCGACGGGGAGGUUUGGCACCUCGAUGUCGGCUCAUCGCAUCCUGGGGCGGUAGUACGUCCCAAGGGUUGGGCUGUUCGCCCAUGAAAGCGGUACGCGAGCUGGGUUCAGAACGUCGUGAGACAGUUCGGUCCAUAUCCGGUGUAGGCGUUAGAAUAUUGAGAGGAGCCUUCUUUAGUACGAGAGGACCGAGAAGGACAUACCUCUGGUGUACCAGUUAUCGUGCCAACGGUAGACGCUGGGUAGCUAUGUAUGGAGUGGAUAACCGCUGAAAGCAUCUAAGUGGGAAGCCCACCUCAAGAUAAGUAUUCGC